AUGUGGAAAGAAAAGACUUGACUCCGUAUUGUAGAACGAGGCUUCUCCCGUGCUUCCUCACAGGACGAACAUAACUUCGAGACACAGAGAAAAUGACGGAUGCCCUCACAGAAGAUCAAAUAGAUGAAUUCAAAGAGGCGUUCAGCCUGUUCGACAAAGAUGGCGA